GAUGAACGCUGGCGGCGUGCCUAAUACAUGCAAGUCGAGCGAACAGACGAGGAGCUUGCUCCUCUGACGUUAGCGGCGGACGGGUGAGUAACACGUGGAUAACCUACCUAUAAGACUGGGAUAACUUCGGGAAACCGGAGCUAAUACCGGAUAAUAUAUUGAACCGCAUGGUUCAAUAGUGAAAGACGGUUUUGCUGUCACUUAUAGAUGGAUCCGCGCCGCAUUAGCUAGUUGGUAAGGUAACGGCUUACCAAGGCAACGAUGCGUAGCCGACCUGAAGGGGGGAUCGGCCACAUGGGAACUGAGACACGGCCCAGACCCCUAGGGGGGGCAGCAGUGGGGAAUUUUCCGCAAGGGGGGAAAGCCUGACGGAGAAACGCCGGGGGGGUGAUGAAGGUUUUCGGAUCGUAAAACUCUUUUAUUAGGGAAGAACAAAUUUGUAAGUAACUAUGCCCGUCUUGACGGUACCAAAGCAGAAAGCCACGGCUAACUACGU
rnacentral:rRNA from 1 species